rnacentral:rRNA from 1 species
AUUGAACGCUGGCGGCAGGCCUAACACAUGCAAGUCGAGCGAGAAAGGUCUUCGGACUGAGUACAGCGGCGGACGGGUGAGUAAUGCGCAGGAAUCUACCUGGUAGUGGGGGAUAACUCGGGGAAACUCGAACUAAUACCGCAUACGCCCUACGGGGGAAAGCGGGGGACCUUCGGGCCUCGCGCUAUCAGAUGAGCCUGCGUAGGAUUAGCUUGUUGGUGAGGUAAAGGCUCACCAAGGCGACGAUCCUUAGCUGGUCUGAGAGGAUGAUCAGCCACACUGGAACUGAGACACGGUCCAGACUCCUACGGGAGGCAGCAGUGGGGAAUAUUGCGCAAUGGGCGAAAGCCUGACGCAGCCAUGCCGCGUGUGUGAAGAAGGCCCUUGGGUUGUAAAGCACUUUCAAUUGGGAAGAAAGGUUGCGUGUUAAUAGCACGUAGCUGUGACGUUACCUUUAGAAGAAGCACCGGCUAACUCCGUGCCAGCAG